rnacentral:rRNA from 1 species
GAACGGGUGAGUAACACGUGAGUAAUCUGCCCCAGGCUCUGGGAUAGCCACCGGAAACGGUGAUUAAUACCGGAUACGACAACCGAUUGCAUGAUCUGGUUGUGGAAAGUUUUUCGGCCUGGGAUGUGCUCGCGGCCUAUCAGCUUGUUGGUGAGGUAAUGGCUCACCAAGGCUUCGACGGGUAGCCGGCCUGAGAGGGUGACCGGCCACACUGGGACUGAGACACGGCCCAGACUCCUACGGGAGGCAGCAGUGGGGAAUAUUGGACAAUGGGCGGAAGCCUGAUCCAGCAACGCCGCGUGAGGGAUGACGGCCUUCGGGUUGUAAACCUCUUUCAGCACAGACGAAGCGAAAGUGACGGUAUGUGCAGAAGAAGGACCGGCCAACUACGUGCCAGCAGCCGCGGUAAUACGUAGGGUCCGAGCGUUGUCCGGAAUUAUUGGGCGUAAAGGGCUCGUAGGCGGUCUGUCGCGUCGGGAGUGAAAACCAGGUGCUUAACACCUGGCCUGCUUUCGAUACGGGCAGACUAGAGGUACUCAGGGGAGAAUGGAAUUCCUGGUGUAGCGGUGAAAUGCGCAGAUAUCAGGAGGAACACCGGUGGCGAAGGCGGUUCUCUGGGAGUAUCCUGACGCUGAGG